rnacentral:rRNA from 1 species
CAGUAGCCACGGUAAUACGAAGGGGCUAGCGUUGCUCGGAAUCACUGGGCGUAAAGGGUGCGUAGGCGGGUCUUUAAGUCAGGGGUGAAAUCCUGGAGCUCAACUCCAGAACUGCCUUUGAUACUGAAGAUCUUGAGUUCGGGAGAGGUGAGUGGAACUGCGAGUGUAGAGGUGAAAUUCGUAGAUAUUCGCAAGAACACCAGUGGCGAAGGCGGCUCACUGGCCCGAUACUGACGCUGAGGCACGAAAGCGUGGGGAGCAAACAGGAUUAGAUACCCUCGUAGUCCCUGUCUCUUAUACA